rnacentral:rRNA from 1 species
AUUGAACGCUGGCGGCCGGCCUAACACAUGCAAGUCGAACGAGUGGCGGACGGGUGAGUAAUGUCUGGGAAACUGCCUGAUGGAGGGGGAUAACUACUGGAAACGGUAGCUAAUACCGCAUACCUCCGGCUGUGCCCAGAUGGGUUUAGCUAGUAGGUGGGGGAAAGGAUCACGUAGGCGACGAUCCCUAGCUGUUCUGAGAGGAUGACCAGCCACACUGGAACUGAGACACGGUCCAGACUCCUACGGGAGGCAGCAGUGGGGAAUAUUGCACAAUGGGCGCAAGCCUGAUGCAGCCAUGCCGCGUGUGUGAAGAAGGCCUUCGGGUUGUAAAGCACUUUCAGCGGGGAGGCGUUACCCGCAGAAGAAGCACCGGCUAACUCCGUGCCAGCAGCCGCGGUAAUUC